AAGAAGAUGAAACCAAGCUCUCCAUGCUAUUGCAACUAUUAAUAUUGAUAACCUCCAGUUUAGUUGCAUUCUUUAUUAGAGACCAAAAAUCACAUAAACUUGUUGCAUCAUCAUAAUUAUUAAUGUUUUGUUGUUGAAUGUCCUUCGAGAACAUAACCUGAAAAUCUCCAACUUUGUCGAUACUCAAGUUAAUUACCCCAAACAAUUUCUUUCGUUCUGCAAUCAUCAUAAUCAUAAUAAUAAUCAUAAUAAUGCUUAUCCAGUUGUCCUACAAGAAUUUUGUAUGUGCUUAGUGAUUUGGUUUCAUCCCGAGAUUUGAGAUACUCCAUGUAGUCUGAGUAACCUUCAAAAUGGCAUACCAAAGUUUCCAACUUCCUCAAGCAUCCCACUUCCUUUCCUUUAACUGUUAUCGGAGCAUAUUGUCCUAUUAUAUUAUCUUUGGUAGUAGUAGGAAUCCAUUGCUCCAAUACAAGGACUUGCAGGUGAGAGAGCUUAGGUAACAACCCAUUAGGAAACUCUUUUUCACCACAUCCAUUUAUUCUAAGAUACCUCAGGUUGCAUAGACAUUCCAUACCUUGAGGAAUCUUUUCAGGUGUAGUACCACGGAGAUCUAACCUCUUUAGUGCCCUCAGCUUUUUCAAUGACGGUACAUGCCUUAACUCCCUACAUUGUUUGAUCAACAAUACAGUGAGACUCACCAAUUCAGAAACAGAAUCAGGCAAUGUUGUGAUACUUGUAUAAGACAGAUCAAGAACCUUGAGCCCACACAACUGCUCAAAAAAUGAAUCUGCUAUAAAUUGCAACUCUGAAUUUGCACAUAACAAUAGAGUUGAAAGACCGGGACACCGUGGUGAAUGGUCGGAAGGAAUUACUUGAAUUUGGUUAUACAUCAGUGAAACUCUAGUAAGAUUCUCUGUCCACUCCUCUGCAUCCGGCAAUUCUUUUAAUUGUGCACCUGCUUUAACUAUUCCUUGAGAGUUUUCUUUUAGUAUUUGGAUGGCCAUGUCCCUAAUCAAGUCAUGCAUAGUGAUAGAUCCAGGACCAGGGUUCAUUUUCUUAGCACUUUCCAAAAGGCAAACACUUUGAAGUUUGUUAAGCAUCGAGUGGCCUUUGUCAAGUUCUGCCUCCCUACUUUCCAGCCCUUUUAUCACUCCCUCGCCAAUCAAAGCUAUAAUAUGAGUUUUGAGUUCUAAAAUUCUGCUUGUUUUGAAGAUAAGUAGUUGAAGUUGACAGAAAAAUGAACAUGUAAGAACAAAGCUAUAAUAUGAGUUUUGAGUUCUAAAAUUGAUCAAGUGGAAGGAAAGGUUGAAACUAAAAUAAGAAGUUAAAAACAGCAAAGAACAUGAAAAGAAAAAACAAUGAACUUGGUAUGAACUCCACAAGGCAUGGAUUAUAAAAACUAAUUAAGAAAGGUAAAUUGAUUUAUAUUUGGAAACUUGUGUUGUACUUAAAAAGGAUUCAAAAGAAUUUCAACAAAAGAAUCUGAAGCUAACUACGGAGUGAUCUGAAAAUGUAAGCGCAAGAAUACGAGAAAGAGUAGUGUAACUAGUCACCUAUCAAGCUGACAAGAGGCACUCAACAGACAAAAGAAACCUUGAGAGCAGCUGUUUUUAAGACAAGUAGUUGAAGUUGAAGGCAAUAUGAACAUGUAAGAACAAAGCUAUAAUAUGAGUUUUGAGUUCUAAGAUAGAUUAAGCAACACAUAUAAUCAAGUUCUACAACCAAAUGGGCAGAUCUUAUUUGAAACAAAAUUAGUGGUAGAAAAACAGGAAAAGAAGGUAAAACUCACCUUCCAAGCAAGAAAGAUGUUGAACUCCAGAUGAGAUGAUUCGAUUCAAUCAGAAAAAGGAAGCACAGAUCAAGAGAAAAAGGUUUAAGAAAUUUGGUGAGGGAAAUUAGGAGGUCGAUGGUAUACUGAGACUGAGAGAGAUCAAGCAGAAGACAGUGUCAUUUUUAAUAAUAAUUAAUUAUUAGUUGUAUUGUUUAAUAAGAAGGAAGGCUUUCCUACCGAUGAUUACUAGAUACUUGACCCGCGCGGGAUGCCGCGGGUCAUUUUUUUUUGCAUAAAAAAUAUCAAAACAAAUAAAAAUUUAAAAAUUUUGGGUUUUUUUGUAAAGUUAUAUUCAAGAAUCUUGGGUUUAGCUGCAACGCUUGACCUAUAAGUAAUAUUUGUAAUAUUAAUAAUAAAAUUAAACUUGCAUGACCGAAGUUUAAGUGAGUCUGACUAUAACACCGGACCCAAGAAUAUUGGAUGUGGGUCUAGCUAUAAGGUCGUGUCAUAAAACUGUGAUAAUUAAAUAGAUUGAUUAAAAAAAACAAAGAAAAAAAAUCAACAUAAAGGAAAAAACUAAUGAAGAAAAAUAAAAAAAAAUAAAUUAAUUUGGUUAACUCUUUAAACCAGGUUAUCCCGUAAAACCUGGGAUUCACAUCAUGAAAGUUUAAGAACUAAAUAUAAAAACAAAUGACAGAUUUACUCAGAAUUAACUGGGUUAACCCAUCAAACUAAGUUAACCCGUCAAACCCAGGACACGUGUCAUGAAAGUAUGAAAGUCUGAUAAUUAAAUAGAAAGAAAAUUAACUUUAACAAACUAAACUAAAUGAAAAAAAUAACUUGUCAAAUCAGGCUAACCCAUCAAACCCAGAUCCGUAUCAUGAAAAUCUGAUAACUAAAUAAAAAAAAUUAACAUUAACAAACUAAAUCAAACAAAAAAAAUUCAUUAAAAAAAUUAAAAAGAAAAAAAAAAAAAAAUAGUUAUAUAAUACAAUAUAAUAUAACACAAUAUAGUAAUAUUUAUAAUUAUAAUUAUAAUAUAAUAAAUAAUAUUAAUAAGUAAAUAUAUUAGUAAAAGGCGUGACAUGCCGCGCGAUGCCGCGGGCUUGUAGCAUGCUUGUGCAUUAUUGUGGAUUUGUGAAAAAAAUCAUAUAAAAAAAAACUGUUACCAUCCACAAUAUUUUAAAGGAAAAAACUACAAAGCUAUAUUCUCAACCAGCUCAAUAUUAAAAAAAAAAUCGACAAAAACAAUUAUGAAAAAAAACACAAAAAAAAUGAAAAAAAGAAGAUGACAAUUUUGGAAGAAAAAAAAGCAAAAUAAUAAAAAAAUGAAAAAAAAAACAUGUGGGAAAAGUUAAAGCUAAAUUUUCAACCAGCUAAAUAUUAAAAUCAUUUAAGAAAACACUGUAACAAUCUAUAGUGUUUUGUGAGGAAAUAUACAACUAUAAUUCUCAACCAGCUCAAUAUUAAAAAAAAAUCAAUAAAGAUAAUUUUGACAAAUAUAUAAAAAAAAAAACAAAGGAAAAAAAACAUCCAGGGAAACACUAUAACAAUCUAUAGUGUUUUAUGAGAAAAUCUACAGUUGUAAUUUUUAACCAGCUCAAUAUCAAAAACAAUAAAAACCGACAAAGACAAGUUACAAAAAAAAACAUAAGAAAAAAAAAAGCAUAUUGAAAAAAAUUUUAGCAAUCAACGAUGUUUGAAGGAAAAAAAGCUAAAUUGUUAACCGGUUUAGUAUGAAAAAAAUAAAUUUGACAAAAACAUAUUUGGAAAAAAGACAUCGAUAAAAAACAUAUGUGGCGAAACACUGUAGCAAGACAAAAAUCAUGUGGGAAAACAUUGCAGCAAUAUACAGUGUUUUAAAUAACAACAAAGCUAAAUUCUCAAUCAGCUUAAUAUGAAAAAAAUAAAAUCGACAAAGAUAAUUUUGAAAAAAAAUUAUUUAAUAAAAAACCAUGUAGAGAAAUACUGCAGCAAUCUAGUGUUUUAAAGAAAAAAAAUUUAAAAACUAAAUUAUCAAUCAGCCAAUAGUAAAAAAAUAAAAUCAACAAAAAUAAUUAUGAAAAAAAAUAUAUAAAGAAGAAAGACAAUUUUGGGAAAAAUUAAAAAAAAAAAGUGGGAAAGCUAAAGCUAAAUUCUCAAACCAAUCAAUAUUGAAAAAAUAAAUUCGACAAAGAUAAUUUAAAAAAAAAACAUGUGGGAAACACUGCAGCAAACAAAAACCAUGUAAGGGAAAACUGUAGCAAUCCAUAGUGUUUUUUUUUUUAAAAAAAAAAAAACUAAGUUAUCAACCAGCUCAAUAUAUAAAAAAAAACUGACAAAGACUAUUUUUUUUAAAAAAAAAAAGUCAAUUUUGGGUAGAAGAAAUGAAAAAAAUACAUGUAAAAAAAAGGAAACAAAAGCGAGAAAAAAACACGCGGGGAAAGCUACAAUGUUUUAAAGAAAAAAAACCAAAAAAACUAAAAUUUCAACCAGCUCAAUAGCAAAAAAAGUAAAAUCAACAAAAAAAAAUUUGAAAAAAAAAUGUAAAAAAUGACAAUUGUGGAAAAAAAGAAAAAGAAAUAAAAAAUAAAAAAAAAACAUGUGGGGAAAGCUAAAGCUAGAUUAUCAUCCAGCUCAAUAUUGAAAAAAUAAAUUCGAUAAAGAUAUUUUUUUAAAAAAAUAUAUGGAGAAAUACUGCAACAAAACAAAAACUAUAUAGGAGAAACACUGUAGCAAUCCAUAUUUAAAAAAAAAAACUACAAAUUUAAAUUCUCAACCAACUCAAUAUAUAUAAAAAAAAAAUCUACAAAGACCAUUUAAAAAAAUAAAAUAAAUCACAAAAAAAAAUGAAUGAGAACAUUAUAUCAAUCCACAAUGUUUUUUUAAAAAAGAUACAUAGUUAAAUUUUCAACCAGCUCAAUAUUUAAAAAAAUUAGGAAAGAUAAUUUUGAAAAAAAAUUUAAAAAAAAAAGAAGUCAAUUUUGUUUAAAAAAAAAGAAAAAAAAAUAUGUAAAAAAAAUAAAGGAGAAACAAAAGUAGGAAAAAAAAAUACUCCAAAAUGAAAACACCACACGUUUUAGAGUUAUUUAAUAAUAUGUUUUAUAAGAUAUAACAAGUUGCUUUUUAACCUUUAAUUAUAUGCAAAAGAAUCAAAAGCUAAUUGUUGAGUGAGUUAACGUGUGGACCCACCGCAAUGUUCAAACUUCGAUGAAGCUCAUAUGAAUUAUGAAAAUGUACGCACAUGAAUAUGAGAGAGAAUAGAAACAAAUAAUGCAGGACAGACAUCCACGAAAUUGCACAGAAACUUGGGCAUGUUUGUUUCUCAAAAAUUAAUUUUUAAAAAAUUAUUUUUCAAACUUUUAUGUAUUUGUUUGUUAUUAGAAAAGUUAGUCAACGAAAACACUUUUUAGUUAAUGGAAAAUACUUUCUGAUCAAUGGAAAACACUUUUCAGUUAAAGAAAAAUUUGACUUGAUUUUCAGGAAAGUAUUUUCCCUUUGCUAUGUUUGUUUUUCGGAAAGUGAUUUUCGAGAAAUUACUUUCCAAACUUUCUUGUGUUUGUUUGCCAUUAGAAAAGUUGGUCAACGGAAAACACUUUCCAGUAAAAAGAAAAUUUGGCUUGGUUUUUAGAAAAGUGUUUUCCUGAAAAAUAUUUUUUUAGCUACCAAUGAACCAAUGACACUGCUAAUACUACUAGAGUACCAAACCAAUGCCUCGUGUUGGGUGUUUCAGAGUGUAACCAUAGUUAUUUUUUAAAGUUUUUUUGUUUAAAAAUAUAUCAAAAUAAUAUAUAUUUUCAAAUUAUUUUAAUGUGUUAAUAUUAAAAAUAUAUUUUUUAAUAUUAACACAUUAAAAUAAUCUGAAAACUUUAAAAAAUUAAUUUAAAAUAAAAACAAUUAAUUUUUUUCAAUAUAUAUAUAUAUAUAUAUGUAUAUAUUUUUUUAAAAAAACAGAUUCCAGAGAAUUGUCACCGGUUAAAAAGCUACGAUCAAAGGUUCUGCCCUAUUUAGACAUCGCCAACUUCUAAGAGGGUGUUUGGGAGUAUGGUUGCUGUUGCUUUUCAAAGUGCUUUUCACUUAGAAAAGCAUGCUAAUAAUUUUUUUUAUUUUUUAAAAAUCAUUUUUGAGAUUAACACAUCAAAAUGAUUUGAAAACAUCAAAAACAUAUUAAUUUAAAGCAAAAUAAAAAAAAUUUAAUUUUUUCAGAAGUGCUUUUGAAAAGCACUCUCAAACAGGCCCCUAUGCUAUUGGCAGCGCAACCAUAAUCAUGGUUGUUAUUGUGGUUGUUGUCGAUAGUCAACAAUGUGCACAUUAUCUGGGCAACAAUAAAGGGAAACGAGUAAAAUUACAAUUAUGUCUUUGUAACCACAAUUAGGGUUAACUAGAUGCCAUGCCCACGGGUCUAGCAUACCUGUAUGUUGUCGUGGACUUAUUAAAAAUAUAUAUAGAAAAAUAUUGUUGCAAUUUACAAUGUUUUUAAGAAAAAAAACUACAAAGAUAAUUUUAGAAAAAAACAUAAAAAAACGAAAGGAAAAAAACUGUGUAGAGAAACACUGUAAUAAUCUAUAGUGUUUUGUGAGGAAAUAUAUAGUUGCAAUUCUCAACUAGCUUAAUAUUAAAAAAAUAAAAUUAACAAAGAUAAUUUUGAAAAAUAAUCAUAACAAAAAAAACCAUGUAGGGAAUGACUGUAGUAAUUCACAGUAUUUUAAAGAAAAAAAUACAAAGUUGAAUUCUCUACCAGCUUAAUAUUAAAAAAAUAGAAGCAACAAAGACAAUUUUUAAAAAAAUCAUACAAAAAACCAAAAAAAAAAAAAAAAAAGACCCCAUGUAGGGAAAUACUAUAGCGAUCCAUAAUUUUUUGUGAGGAAAGCUACAAUUGUAAUUCUCAACCAACUCAAUAUUAAAAAAAUAAAAUCAACAACGAUAAUUUUAAAAACAAAAUCAUAAAAAAAACAUGUGGAGAAACACUGUAGCAAUCUACAAUUUAAAAAAAAAAACUAUGAAGCUAAAUUUUUAAUCAUCUCAAUAUUAAAAAAACAAAUUGACAAAGAUAAUUUUAGAAAAAAAAAAAAACCAUAUGGGGACACACUGUAGCAAAACAAAAAACCAAUAUUAAAUUCAAAAUUGGUUUUGCUAGGUCGACCGAGUAGUAGGCACACUUACCAAGUUAGCUGGGCCACUUGUCAACUCUCACCUGGUUUACUUUGAUACUUGGCUUCGUCCUAGGUUUUUGGAUCACCAUGUUGACUUGACGAGCUUGGCUUGAUUUAAUAACAUUACUAAGAGUUUUCUUAGGCAACAUGUAGGCAACUGACUAGUUAUGAUAAACUCAAAAAGAAGUGGUGAAAACUUCAUUCACCACACUUUUCACACAGGCACAAGGUAUUAUAAAUUGCUACAGUGUCUUUUUCCAUCCUUAUUUUUUAUGUGAUUUUUUCCUAAUAUAACCAAAUUGAUAACCAAUUUAAAUAAAUUUGUUAAGAGAAGACAAAAUUGAAAGAAAGGGAUCAAAGUGAAAAAGGCAAACAUAAUAGGUGGAAGUUCCAAAAUUCAUUUAAAACGUUCACUUUGAUUCUCUAACUUUAUAAAAUAUAACUUUCAAACCCUUAAUAUUUUAAAAAUCCAAUUGUGGUACAUAACUUUCUUUUUUUUAGUUUAUGAUUUAAAAGAAGAGAUAAAAAAUCGUUUGAUUUUGGUUGUAGAGAAAGAAAAUCUCGAUUUACACUAAUUUGAAUCAUGAAAAUGAUGAUUUUGGUGUCAACAUGAUCUAUUUGAUGAGAGGAGUUCCAUUUAGGUGUUCUUUUCCCUUCUCAUCGGCUAAAGUGGUUGAUAUGAGCCCGGGAAGGUUUUUAUAUUACUAUUGAUUUUAGUUUUUUAGAUAAUAUCCUGGGUUAUUGAUGCCAUGAAUAGGUUUGUCAAGGUGUUUAGGGUUUUUUCUAGGUGUUUUAGAUAAAAAUAUAUUAAAAAUCAAGCUUUUUAACAAGAAAAAACAUGGCCUGAAUUUUUAAUGACCUUUUAGUUGCAUGAAACUAGACCAGCAUAUGACGCAUCAUCUACAUAGCAGGUGACUUUUUAUUAAGUUUUUGUUUUGAAUUUUUUAUUAUUAUUAUGAUUUUUUUAAUAUAUUAUGAUUUAAUUUCAGAUUGGUCCCUAGCUGUAAUAUUAGAUUUUUCAUAUUUGUUUGAUGAAUAAUUGAGGGUUAUUUAGUGAAUUAUUAUCAAGUCUUACUAUUUAUUUUAUUAUGGAUUAGAUUUCAGGAAAACCGUUUAACUUUUGGGUUUUUGGAAAAAAUGACUAGUUUAGUUUACAAACAUAUAGGGUUAUAGAAUAGACCCUUAACUAAGUGUAUUAAAUAGGUAGUAUGUUCUUUCGAGUCAUUUUUGAAUAUGUCUCAUUUGUAUUCAGAUAAUUUUAAUAUUUUACUGACGAGAUAUUAGUAAGAUUUUCUUCGGUAUCUGACUUCGAGUUUUGUUUGUUUUGAGUGAGUGAGUGGAUAAUUUUCCGUAUGCAUGAGAAAUAUUUGAGUUGUUAAUAUGAAUUGAAUCAUGCUUCUUGAUAUAUAUAUAUAUAUCCUUAUUACGAUAAAGCAUGAUCAAUUGUUGAAUUUGAAUUAUUGAUAUGAACCAAUAUAUAUUUUGAAUUGGCUUCUGAAUUGAUAGCUCCUUAUUUGAUUGAUGUCAUGAGUUGAGCCUUGAGAUAUGAAUAUGUCCGUUUGAUUAUGAUUAUGAACCUAUGGUAUGCUAGUCAGAAUACCCAUGCUAAUAGGGUAAAUGUUAGUCUUCGUGCACAUCGUAUCUGAACCCUAGUUGUUCGGGGGAGUCACCAACCUAUGUGGACUGAUCAUCACAUAGUACGGAGCCUCAUGCUCAUUGCAUUUUGAUUUUAUGACGAGCUUUACCAUAUGAUAUUCUUGUUAUGACCUAUUUGAGAAACCUUCCUAUAAGAACCUAGAGCCAUAAUUGUGUAUAUAUUCAUCAUUGUUAUAUUACCUUGUGUGUGUAUAUUGAACGUUAUUUACUUACUGAGUUGUUGAACUCACCCUCUUAUUAUAUAUUUUUUCAAGAUUUUAGCUUAUUAGCGAAUCAUUUUGUUGGACUUUCAGAACAUGCUCUUUUUUUGUUGUAAUUUCAGAAUAUGCUCUCUUUUUUGUUGUAAUUUGUGCUUUCCCUUUAUGUCUAGUUAGUGUUCCAUAACUAUAAAAUUAUAUUAACUCUUGUAUUAAGACAAUUAAAUUAUAUUAUGAAGUUAGUUUGUUGUUAUUGCUGCGUUGAACUUUGAUUGACUUAUUUGAAGGAUAAGUUUGCAUGUAAAUUUGGGUUCGCAUAGGUAUUGAACUUUGGUGGGGAACCUUGCCUAUGUGUUGGUCAUGAAUCCGGGAAUCGGGUCGUGACACAAAUCCUCUCUAGGGAUCUCAAAGUCUUUUGGGAAUAAUGCAUAGUAAAAGAGACAUUGUUUCAUUGGUGAAUCACUAGAUGGUUAUAGCUAAAUCUCAAUAUGUGGAAUAUGUCAGGUUCCAAAUCAUGUUUUCUAACUUUUAAUUCUUCCAAUUUCUCCAAUGCAUUCUUCCACUCACAUAUGUCAACCACUGCCCUCAUGGUUCUCGCCAUUGUUAUAAUUUCUAGAGGCAAACCAGCACAUUCCCUUGCAAUAACUACUGCUAUUUGUUCCACUUCUAGAGAAAGUGCUCUGUCAUGUCCAAGUUUUUGUCUCCGUAAGUGGCUUCACUUUGAUUUUGUGUUUGCUAUCUAUCUAUUGACAAACCCUUUGAUCGUGUUGUCGUAAUCGCAAUCUUUAACCAGGACAGGAAUUCCCACUUUGUGUAGCUCAAAAGUGUUCCACAAAUCAUCUAAAAUGAGAAUUCAUUUUUGUUUCUUCCUUAGUUCUUUUGACAAUUUGACAGCUCUACGCAGUUCUUCAUCUUCACUUGAAAAAUCUAAGCCAAGACAUUUAGCAAUAAGAGUUUGUAAUCUUUUAAUGUUGAAAUCUGGAGACAUAGUCACCAAAAAAACACAAUGAGAAAAGUCUUGUCUUUCUAGAAGCUCAUUAUGGAUAUUUUGCAGCAUUGUCGUUUUAUCAACUCCCCUCAUUUCGUAAAUACCAAUUAUCGAGACUGGAUCAUUCAUUAACCAAAACCAUGUCACUUUUAUAUUCUGUUCAAAUGCUCAACCCACUAGCUUUUUAGAGCUAGUAGGUAAUGGAUCUCCUAGAGUCUUAUUUGUGUUGCCUGUAAGCCCUCCAUAAGAGCUGCACUACCCCUCGAGUCCCAUUCUCUAUAUCAUCCUUCAUUAACAUUUCAUUGAUCUCAACCCAACUUAAUUUAGUCACUCCAUGCAUCUUCCUGGGCUAUUCCCUGUCUCAGAAUACAUAUUUUAAGGCAUGUUCUACAUUCCUCUCCAGGUCACCAUCCUCCCUUGAUACAUCUCAUUGAAUUUGUAUUCCCAUGCUGUACCCUCGGGGCCUCCACGUAACAUUGGACGAACGUGCUUGCCUUUUCAACUGGAUUUGGUUUCGAUGGCCCAUUCCAUCUUCUUUGAUUUGGCAGAGUUUAGGUAUGAAUUUCCAGCUUGAUUUGAUUUCAAUUGUUUUUUUAAUAUAUAUAUAUAUAUAUAGAUAUAUAUAUAUAUAUAUAUAUAUAUAUAUAUAUAUAUAUAUAUUGCUGCAUAGUACAGCCUUGCCAUGCUUUGUCAAUUCAAUUUUGGGUGUCCUGCCAUGUUAGCUGUAACAGUGAUGCCUACUGCCCUUGAUAUCAUCUUUCCCAUCAUGGUCAGCUGAGCUUCUUUUUUUUUUUUUUUUUUCCUGGGAUGUGCUUGUUUAAGUCUGAUUGGGAGACCUAUAAAGGAGUUCUUAUGCUAACUUAUCUGUUUUCUUUACAUGGUUUUGCAUUCCUGCUUCUCACUUCUGCUCAAUGCAUAGUUUGAAUAGUUUGAAUAUUUGAGGAAACAUUACAGGCAAUUUUUCUGCCCGAUAAGCCAGUCCAGUUUCAAUCAGAACUUUACACCCUUCCCUGUAAAUUAUAGAAAAAAGACAUUCAAUUUUUUAAAGCUAAACAAAUACCUUUUUUCCAAAAUGCUUCUGAUGGAAGGAAGAAAUUAACUGAGCAAAUGCCUUUUUUGAAAGAUUGACCUGUGUAACUUUCUGAUAAAGACAUGGUCUCUCUCUUGCGUUUGAAGUUAGGAUUUGUGCUUUUUGUUUGUUAUUACACAGGACAUGCAAUUGUUCUGCAUGUACUCCUACCCAAGCAUUAAUUGGUUUCCAUCAACACAACAUCUAUACAACUUUACAGGAACCAUUAAACAUGCAGUUACCUUGUAAACAAAACUGAAACCACCCUCGCCGACUUCGUCUUCCGCAUCGAAGUUCUUGGUACCAGCUUUCAUCUUAGUGUGAAAAGUCCUGUUUGCAGAUCUAGGCCUCUAAGCUCUGUCAGGCCACAAUUUUGGAUGUCAAAGAGAAUACUCGUAAGUUCAUAGAAAAAGUUAUGUUCUGUUUUCAGCAUCUUCAAGAGAAUAUUAAACAGAGCAAUUGUAGUCGACAUGAAUUAUUGAAGAGUUAACAAUUCACAGACAAUAUUUCUAAAUCUUCAAAGAAAAGUAUAAUGAGAAUUGAGUCAUUAAUCUGGUAGUCCAAGUAGAGAUGCCAAAGAGCUUGUUAUUUUUCUUCCCCCUUUUUAUAAGGACUCCAAAAGAAAUACCAAUACCUUUAUAUGCAUAGACUCUGCCACCAAGCCAGCCAUUUCUCUGCAUGGCACCUAGUACUCGAAGGGCAACGAAAACUGCUCUGGCUACUGUUCCAGUCACUAUGGCUACAACAUUCCUGUCGCCACUCUCACACGUAAUUAGGUGCAAAUCCGAAGCUCAAGCAUGAUUUGAUCUUGAUUUUUAUAAUUAAGAUUCUCCAAUAUUUAAAGAUCAUCAACAAGAAAUUAAAAGCCAUAGACUUUGAAGCCAAUCAAAUUCUCAUUAAAAACCCAACUCUAAAAAGACAGAGUCAUCCAUUUCCAUGUGAAGAUAGUAACAAGUUAAAAAAAAUUCCUACAAAUAAAUAAACAGAGGAAUCAAUAUAAAUAAGAGAAUGAAGUUUUUAAGGUUGGGAUGAUAACAAGAAUAUUAUAAGAUAAAACUAAAAACAAAAUCUGACAGCGUUGGGUAGCAUUUGAUGUUUUCAAGAAAUAGGAAAUAGGGAAGAGAUUGAUACUGAGAGAGAGAAAAGGAGGAAUUAAAGCAAAAGCUUACAUGUAAUUCAUUUUUUAUAUUAAGGGGUAAUGUCGUCCCCUAAGUCCUAUCUCUGCAAAGGGCAAUGUUAUAGAUGUCCAACAUUUCAAACUUUACAAAGGGAAGAAGCACAUCAGUCUUUAAGUGGACGUGCGUACCUGUAAUUCAAUAUUAAAUUAAGGGGCAACGUCGUCUUCUACCCAUCAAUCUUUGUUAAGAAUCUUUGUUAAGAAAUCUCCCAUCUCGAAACUUACAAAGGACAUCCUUAGCAUUAGGAUGCUCCCACUCCACUACUGACUCCCACCAUUCUUUUGGAAGAUUACUCUAAGAAAAGGGGGAGGAGAUGGCUGGCCAUUUUCAAGCAACGGAAGACAAAUUGACAAACUCUUCAGCUUCUCACAAUUUUCUACACGAAUAGAUUGCAGAAAAUCACAAUUCAGUUUUGCACUACAAAUGCUUUUCAGUUCUGGUAAUCCAACCAAGCGCAGAGAUCGUAACUUGGGGAGUUUGAAUUCGCUGUUGCUGCUUUCUUCACCCAUAACCCCUUCUUCAUCUGAUCUUGUUCCACCUAUUAUCUCCUCCAUCUUCUCACAUCCUUCAACUGAAAUCAUUUCUAGGUUUACGAGGUUGGGCAGCAAGACAAGAGGGAACAACUUCUUCAUACUUGUACAUCUAAAACAAAAGAACUUCUUAAGACUAGAAAAUAUACCACUACAAGAUGGCAAUAGUACUGGAGCAGAGCAAAACCAAGAAGAUGAAACCAAGCUCUCCAUGCUAUUGCAACUAUUAAUUUUGAUAACCUCCAGUUCAGUUGCAUUCUUUAUUAGAGACCAAAAAUCACAUAAACUUGUUGCAUCAUCAUAAUUAUUAAUGUGUAGUUGUUGAAUGUCCUUCGAGAACAUAACAUGAAAAUCUCCAUCUUUGUCGAUACUCAAGUUACCCCAAACAAUUUCUUUCGUUCUGCAAUCAUCAUAAUCAUAAUCAUAAUCAUAAUCAUAAUCAUAAUCAUAAUAAUGCUUAUCCAUUGGUCCUACAAGAAUUUUGUAUGUGCUUAGUGAUUUGGUUUCAUCCCGAGAUUUGAGAUACUCCACGUAGUCUGAGUAACCUUCAAAAUGACAUACCAAAGUUUCCAACUUCCUCAAGCAUCCCACUUCCUUUCCAUUAACUGUUAUCGGAGCAUAUUGUACUAUUAUAUUAUCUUUGGUACUAGGAAUCCAAUCCUCUAAUACAAAGACUUGCAGGUGAGAGAGCUUAGGUAACAACCCACUAGGAAACUCCUUUUCACCACAUCCAUUCAUUCUAAGAUACCUCAGGUUGCAUAGACAUUCCAUACCUUGAGGAAUCUUUUCAGGUGUAGUACCAUGGAGAUCUAACCUCUUUAGUGCCCUCAGCUUUUUCAAUGACGGUACAUGCCUUAACUCCCUACAUUGUUUGAUCAACAAUACAGUGAGACUCACCAAUUCAGAAACAGAAUCAGGCAAUGUUGUGAUACUUGUAUAAGACAGAUCAAGAACCUUUGAUCGUGUUGUCGUAAUCAACUUGCAAUCUUUAACCCAUUCCUCUCCAUUGUCAUUGCAGCUCCAUUGAAUUUGUAUUCCCAUGCUGUACCCUCGGGGCCUCCACGUAACAUUGGACGAACGUGCUUGCCUUUUCAACUGGAUUUGGUUUCGAUGGCCCAUUCCAUCUUCUUUGAUUUGGGAGAGUUUAGGUAUGAAUUUCCAGCUUGAUUUGAUUUCAAUUGUUUUUUAAUAUAUAUAUAUAUAUAUAUAUAUAUUGCUGCAUAGUACAACCUUGCCAUGCUUUGUCAAUUCAAUUUUGGGUGUCCUGCCAUGUUAGCUGUAACAGUGAUGCCUACUGCCCUUGAUAUCAUCUUUCCCAUCAUGGUCAGCUGAGCUUCUUUUUUUUUUUUUCUUUUUUCUUUUUUUUUUUCCUGGGAUGUGCUUGUUUAAGUCUGAUUGGGAGACCUAUAAUGGAGUUCUUAUGCUAACUUAUCUGUUUUCUUUACAUGGUUUUGCAUUCCUGCUUCUCUCUUCUGCUCAAUGCUGUAGCUCAAUUGAAAUUCAAUUUAUUGUCUUCGUCAGAUUAUGAGGAUGAAUAGUUUGAAUAUUUGAGGAAACAUUACAGGCAAUUUUUCUGCCCGAUAAGCCAGUCCAGUUUCAAUCAGAACUUUACACCCUUCCCUGUAAAUUAUAGAAAAAAGACAUUCAAUUUUUUAAAGCUAAACAAAUACCUUUUUUCCAAAAUGCUUCUGAUGGAAGGAAGAAAUUAACUGAGCAAAUGCCUUUUUUGAAAGAUUGACCUGUGUAACUUUCUGAUAAAGACAUGGUCUCUCUCUUGCGUUUGAAGUUAGGAUUUGUGCUUUUUGUUUGUUAUUACACAGGACAUGCAAUUGUUCUGCAUGUACUCCUACCCAAGCAUUAAUUGGUUUCCUUCAACACAACAUCUAUACAACUUUACAGGAACCAUUAAACAUGCAGUUACCUUGUAAACAAAACUGAAACCACCCUCGCCGACUUCGUCUUCCGCAUCGAAGUUCUUGGUACCAGCUUUCAUCUUAGUGUGAAAAGUCCUGUUUGCAGAUCUAGGCCUCUAAGCUCUGUCAGGCCACAAUUUUGGAUGUCAAAGAGAAUACUCGUAAGUUCAUAGAAAAAGUUAUGUUCUGUUUUCAGCAUCUUCAAGAGAAUAUUAAACAGAGCAAUUGUAGUCGACAUGAAUUAUUGAAGAGUUAACAAUUCACAGACAAUAUUUCUAAAUCUUCAAAGAAAAGUAUAAUGAGAAUUGAGUCAUUAAUCUGGUAGUCCAAGUAGAGAUGCCAAAGAGCUUGUUAUUUUUUCUUCCCCCUUUUUAUAAGGACUCCAAAAGAAAUACCAAUACCUUUAUAUGCAUAGACUCUGCCACCAAGCCAGCCAUUUCUCUGCAUGGCACCUAGUACUCGAAGGGCAACGAAAACUGCUCUGGCUACUGUUCCAGUCACUAUGGCUACAACAUUCCUGUCGCCACUCUCACACGUAAUUAGGUGCAAAUCCGAAGCUCAAGCAUGAUUUGAUCUUGAUUUUUAUAAUUAAGAUUCUCCAAUAUUUAAAGAUCAUCAACAAGAAAUUAAAAGCCAUAGACUUUGAAGCCAAUCAAAUUCUCAUUAAAAACCCAACUCUAAAAAGACAGAGUCAUCCAAUUCCAUGUGAAGAUAGUAACAAGUUAAAAAAAAUUCCUACAAAUAAAUAAACAGAGGAAUCAAAAUAAAUAAGAGAAUGAAGUUUUUAAGGUUAGGAUAAUAACAAGAAUAUUAUAAGAUAAAACUAAUAACAAAAUCUGACAGCAUUGGGUAGCGUUUGAUGUUUUCAAGAGAGAGGGAAGAGAUUGAUAUUGAGAGAGAGAAAAGGAGGAAUUAAAGCAAAAGCUUACAUGUAAUUCAUUUUUUAUAUUAAGGGGUAAUGUCGUCCCCUAAGUCCUAUCUCUGCAAAGGGCAAUGUUAUAGAUGUCCAACAUUUCAAACUUUACAAAGGGAAGAAGCACAUCAGUCUUUAAGUGGACGUGCUUACCCCUAAUUCAAUAUUAAAUUAAGGGGCAAUGUCGUCUCCUACCCAUCAAUCUCUACAAAGGGCAAAGUCAUCUCCCACCUCGAGACAUUACAAAUGGACGAAGGACAUCCUUAGCAUUAGGAUGCUCCCACUCCACUACUGACUCCCACCAUUCUUCUGGCAUUGCAUAGAUUCUUCUAAGAGAAGGGGGAGGAGAUGGCUGGCCAUUUUCAAGCAACGGAAGACAAAUUGACAACCUCUUCAGCUUCUCACAAUUUCCUACAUGAAUAUAUUGCAGAAAAUCGCAAAUCAGUUUUGCACUACAAAUGCUUUUGAGUUCUGGUAAUCCAACCAAGAGCAGAGAUCGUAACUUGGGGAGUUUGAAUUCGCUGUUGCUGCUUUCUUCACCCAUAACCCCUUCUUCAUCUGAUCUUGUUCCACCUAUUAUCUCCUCCAUCUUCUCACAUCCUACAACUUCAAUCCAUUCUAGGUUUACGAGGUUGGGCAGCAAGACAAGAGGGAACAACUUCUUCAUACUUGUACAUCUAAAACAAACGAACCUCUUAAGACUAGAAAAUAUACCACUACAAGAUGGCAAUAGUACUGGAGCAGAGCAAAACCAAGAAGAUGAAACCAAGCUCUCCAUGCUAUUGCAACUAUUAAUAUUGAUAACCUCCAGUUUAGUUGCAUUCUUUAUUAGAGACCAAAAAUCACAUAAACUUGUUGCAUCAUCAUAAUUAUUAAUGUGUAGUUGUUGAAUGUCCUUCGAGAACAUGACCUGAAAAUCUCCAUCUUUGUCGAUACUCAAGUUACCCAAACAAUUUCUUUCGUUCUGCAAUCAUCAUCAUAAUCAUAAUCAUAAUCAUAAUCAUAAUAAUGCUUAUCAGUGGUCCUACAAGAAUUUUGUAUGUGCUUAGUGAUUUGGUUUCAUCCCGAGAUUUGAGAUACUCCACGUAGUCUGAGUAACCUUCAAAAUGACAUACCAAAGUUUCCAACUUCCUCAAGCAUCCCACUUCCUUUCCAUUAACUGUUAUCGGAGCAUAUUGUACUCUUAUAUUAUCUUUGGUACUAGGAGGAAUCCACUCCUCCAAUACAAAGACUUGCAGGUGAGAGAGCUUAGGUAACAACCCACUAGGAAACUCCUUUUCACCACAUCCAUUCAUUCUAAAGAUACCUCAGGUUGCAUAGACAUUCCAUACCUUGAGGAAUCUUUUCAGGUGUAGUACCAUGGAGAUCUAACCUCUUUAGUGCCCUCAGCUUUUUCAAUGACGGUACAUGCCUUAAC
rnacentral:lncRNA from 1 species